UUCAGGGGUUUUCAUGUAGAGGAGACUCAGAAGUGGUUUCCCCUUCACUUCUUCUGGGGUUGCCCUGGGACUGUGUAGCUCGCCCAAGGCUACACCGGCUGGCUUUUCUCCUGGGAGGCGCUGUGAGGAAUCGAACUCACAACUCCACAUCCCUCAUUUUCGCUGGUAAUUAAUUUCUCCUGGAGGUGGCCGUUUGUCUGCUGUUAUUUCUUUCAUUUAAUUCAUGCUUGCUGUUUUUUUUCUCUUAUUGUAAACUGUCCCGAGUAAUUCACUGCACUAAGGUGGCAGUGUAUAAAUGGAUGGAUGGAUGGAUGGAUGGAUGGAUGGAUGGAUGGGAAGCAGGUAAUUAUGAUUCUUAAAUGCAUCCAGCAGACCUGCCAGCUGACACCUCUGUGGUGGGUAUAACAGCUGCAAAGGGACAUUUAGGAAACUGGCAAUCUUCGUUAAAAAUGCCAAUGGAAUUAGGGACAGAGUACCCUGCCUCUCCUAGCACUGUAUCCUUCCCACACCACAAACCACUGCUAUUGCUUCUCAGCGGAUGAUCCCUGUCUUAUGUCUCCGUUCAGGGCACGGCCGUGAGAGAGACACUCAGAAGUGUUAUGAAGACAAAGGAAUGUGUCACUCCACACUCUGUCCUGCUCAGAAGAUCGAGAAGGGAACCUGCAAUGGUGGCUCUCAACUCUGCUGCGUUGACUGCCCUUCUCACUUCCUCUCCUAUGAAGGCACUGGGGCUUACUGUCCUCCCACACUUAGCUUCUGGACCUCUGUCAAAAUUCUUCUUAGUCUCUGCUGGGGGAAAAGCUUCGAAAUGCUGUGAGAAGGCUCAGAAUUUGAAAGAGGCUGGAUUGAGAACUGAGGCUUUCAAGGAAGAAAAGAUCCACUUUCAAACGAAGGAGAUGAUCUCACCGAGCGUGCUCGGGAGCACCAUGGUCCAGCUGGAAUACUAGUUUUCUCAUCAGACAGCUUGGAAAGUCAUGUUUGCCAACUUGCAAAAUAGACUGUCCCUAAUUAGGAGUAGACAAUAUGUAAAUUUGUAAAUAAAGUUGUUGUUAUUGUUUAGUCA
rnacentral:lncRNA from 1 species